UAUGUUAUGAUAGAGUAACCAUGGUAACGAAGACUAGGGUUGUGGAAGAACCGCGUGGGAACAACACAGAAGCUGAAUACUUUAAUUCGGAGGCUCGGAAAAUAACAUUAGGAAUGUGUGAAAAAAGGUUGUUUUUGAAGAGUUCCAGCUCGCGUGGGGAGUGUUUGAUUACCUUGUGUACUGUGCAGAUUCACUUGUAAAGAAGCAAGUCGAUGCUGGAUUUGCAGAGAGACUGUGAUUAAAAGCCCCACUAAUUUUGGAUCUGACGAAAAUGACACAGCAAGUGUCACUGUGGCCUCAAAGCUUCAGCACUGGCACUCAGAGAUCGAUUGCUAAGUCUCAGAAUUGGCUCCCCAUAACAUUAGCCUGUUAUGAUAGUCAAGAGGAGACAGGAGAUGAUGGACAGUGUAAUGGAUGGACAUCUUUUGUAAGGCUAAAACAAAUAGACAACACAAUAUGAGUUUCUUACUUCCACUGAUGACGGGCAGUCAGCUCCUGUGGCCUAUUGGGAUAUUACAGACAGAAACUACAUCCUGCAACUGCACCUUGGCAACUGUCUCCAGUGGAAACAAUUCCCCAAUGACAAAUACCAUUGUAUUGAAAUUGUACUAUGAUCAGAUGUAUACCAGGGGGUAUACACAAUCGGAGGGUAAUCACAAUUGGAUGUCUGUGAUUAUUGAAGUAAAUCAGCAUUCAGCAACUUCUUUAAACAGUUUUAAGUAGAGUUUUCUUUUAGACACACUGUUCUUAUAAUAGAUAGGCUUGUUCUUUAUUUAACACGUCUUUAUGCAUAUAGGGUUACUGCAUUAAUACAGUUAGGAACCGUUACAAGAAUUAUUGUAUGCUUGCUGUUUAUCUCAGUUCAGCUUCCUCAAUAAAUUUAG